AGACCCGAAACCCGGUGAUCUAGCCAUGGGCAGGUUGAAGGUUGGGUAACACUAACUGGAGGACCGAACCGACUAAUGUUGAAAAAUUAGCGGAUGACCUGUGGCUGGGGGUGAAAGGCCAAUCAAACCGGGAGAUAGCUGGUUCUCCCCGAAAGCUAUUUAGGUAGCGCCUCGUGAAUUCAUCUCCGGGGGUAGAGCACUGUUUCGGCUAGGGGGCCAUCCCGGCUUACCAACCCGAUGCAAACUGCGAAUACCGGAGAAUGUUAUCACGGGAGACACACGGCGGGUGCUAACGUCCGUCGUGAAGAGGGAAACAACCCAGACCGCCAGCUAAGGUCCCAAAGUCAUGGUUAAGUGGGAAACGAUGUGGGAAGGCCCAGACAGCCAGGAUGUUGGCUUAGAAGCAGCCAUCAUUUAAAGAAAGCGUAAUAGCUCACUGGUCGAGUCGGCCUGCGCGGAAGAUGUAACGGGGCUAAACCAUGCACCGAAGCUGCGGCAGCGACACUA
rnacentral:rRNA from 1 species